UCGCUAAUUGCGACAGAUGAUCUUGUCCUAAGCACAAAUUCACAGUCGCUGGACGAGGGGAGGUCUCACUCCCAAUUUUUUCAGAUGAAUGCAUUUGCCAGCAUAUUGAAUUUGGUGAGUAAUGGUUUCAAUCGUUUUCAUAUUUUGCGGUAUGACAAAGUUACUGCCGUUCGUUGCAGCUUGCGUUAAACACUGCCAGAGCUAGCCAAGUCUCCGGUGAAAAAAUAGCUCCCGUUAAGUUAGCGUCAAGCUUGUGUAUUUAAGGGGGAACUCCGGAUUUUUUGACAUCAGGCUUAAUCAUCGAGUUGGGGGGGGGUUAAUUAGUCAGUGGAGUAGAUUUCAAAAUAUUACGUAGCGUUUGUUAGCCUUUUAUUAUUUUUCAGGGCUCCAGAGUGGCUAUGCUAAUGCAAGUCAAUGUGCCCAAUUAGCAUGCUAAUAAAAAGUGAUAUUCACAGAUCUAACACAGUCAAAUAAAUUGAAAACGCAGCUCAAUGUACAAAAAUCCCCUGCAGCCCAAAAAAAAUGUCGCACCAAACUGCCGUAAUUUAUUCAAUUCCGCGGACUAUUGUUUCAUAUGCGUAAUGACACUCCACUAGAGAGCAGUGCUACGGCCACUUGUCUUCACGUCAGUCUGCACGAAAGGACAUCAGCAUGGUUGAAAUGUGCGUUUUAGAACUUGUGGAAACAUACAGAAGAAAUGGACAAAAGAAAGUGUCCACCGCUUCCCUGUGAAGAACGAGGAACUAUAUAAACUUUGGUUACUCUCUGCUGGAUAUGACAUUCACACACCGGUGGAAAAAGGACUAAAAUGGCGAAUUUGCAGCAAGCAUUUCGCAACAACCGACAUCAGGAAAACAUUUUGUGGCUAUUCUCUCCUGAAAUCAAAUGCUGUGCCUUCGACUGCCCAAACAGCUUCAAGAUCUUCUGAUAAACAGGUAAGAUCUGCUGUACCACAGUCCACGCCAGUGAAGGAUACCACAUCAACAUCAGGCCAGCCGAGGACAAUUCAACAAUCAUCACGAGUGACCUGGAGGUAUACCACAGUGCGAUGCUGAAGUACACCCAAAAGAGGCUCCACUUUGUCUAUAACUCCAUGAAGGCAAGGACACUGAUGUCUGUUAUGGACCACAAUGAAAAUGUCGGGCGCCAGCAACAGAGGAACGCUGAUGGCACUUUGAAAUACAGCUCGGAGUUUCCAAAGCAAACAAAAAGAUGGGUUGCCCGGAGCUGUUACGAGCCAACAACGCAGACAUUCAGAGAGAAUUUGGUGGAAGCGUGUCCUGGAAAGACGGCAGGAUUCAUCAUUAAAGUUUGCUGAGCCAGACUUCUAUUUCAAGCCUCCAACUACGAUUCCACCGAACAUUGUAAACAUCGAAAGGCCUGACAAAGAAAAAGUUAUUUUACAACGUCAGUCGCUUUAAAAAACAAGUAGGCAGACAUUUUCCUUUUUUUUUUUAAUAGAUAUUUUCUAAUGUAGAUAUUUUUGAAUGAACGACAAUAAAAAAAAACACACAUAUUGUAUAAUUUGUGAAAUGUGAAGGUUUAAAAGAUAAAAAGUUUCUGGGUAUGGAGGAAAUGGUAUGAAAAGGUAUGUAGGUAAGUCGUACUUAGAAAAAUUGCAUAGCAUCUUCAGCUUCCCUAAAACCAUUGUAGUUCUCACUGACAGAAGGGUACUUCUCACGGAUGCAGGAGACGACACACGAUGGAAGAACACGUCGCUGGCCUCUUCCCAGAUGUUCGCCUUUCAACGCCCACUCAAGAACAACCCUAUAUGCUACCAAUCAGAGUUGCCUAAAACAAAACCAUAAUAGAGGGUGAUUCAACAAGAAAGUUCCAAAAUCAUCAUGUUGUAGAUCAACAGUAUAUAAUAAAAAGUUACAGAACUCUAGAUUAUUUAGCAAUAUACAUUUUAAAUAUACCCAACAAAUAAGCAGCACUUGACUACAAGCAGCAGGAUUCAAAAUGAGGGGAAAAAGAAGAGACUUAUAGUCUGCAAGUUACGUAACUUCAAGUGCUCAAAGGUGCCCAUCACCGGCACUUGUAAUACAUGAAAUGAUACUUGAAGUUAUGUUCAACACAUUUGCCUAUGUCAGGGUUUUAUAAUGUUUUUCAUUUUUGACAUAUCCCGUGAUGAUUUAGGCACAUUCUCGUAAAUAAUUGCCAUACAGCUACUGCUUUUGGUAAUGACAUCAUGCUUUUACGCUCACAAUGCAUUACAGUUGAGAUGAUAUAGCUGCUUACCUGAAGUAGAAUGAAGCUUAGAGUAUACCAUAGGUAGUUUUAUUAUGAGACCAUUACGAAUAUUCGUCCAGCGGCAAAAUAAGGCAUGCAGGAAUUCACUUACCUCAUUGAUAGCUGUCCAUUUGGGCCUGCUGGCCUUGUUUUUUUCUUUCAGUUGAUCUUGUCAACGAAGAAAAAAGUUUUCUAGAACACCUUUGUUGAUAAGUGGUAAAAAGUCUCCGUGUUCACUUAUGCAUCGAAAUGCUUUUUCAUCGUCACUAUGCAGCGAUAUAUUGAGUUCAUGAAAACUCGUGUCGGGAAGUUGCGUCGUUGCCACAAAAAAAAAAAAAAAAAAAAAAAAAACUGCGGUGAAAAGACCAACGUGAUAUCCCUCCGCCCUGAGUGCGCGGCGCUUGUUCUCUGCAAAGCAACUGAAUUACUAAUGUUGCUCUUCAUACUGCAGUUAUAGACAUGCAAUGGUAAGUUUUAAUAACUUUAUCCUGAAAACAUAGCCAACACUACUGAUUGCAUGCGUCAUCGGUGAUUCUGUUGCGUGCAUAUGUUUUUUUUAUUGGUAUGCUAAUUGGGCACAUUGACUUGCAUUAGCAUAGCCCUGAAAAAUAAUAAAAGACUAACAAACGCUACGUAAUAUUUUGAAAUCUACUCCACUGACUAAUUAACCCCCCUCUAACUCGAUGAUUAAGCCUGAUGUCAAAAAAUCCGGAGUUCCCCUUUAACGGUAGUAUAAAAGCAGUGUUGUUAGUAACGCGUUAUGUGAGUAAUGCGUAACUGUAAUCUGAUUGCUUUCUUUCAGUAAAGAGCAAUCUAACGUGUUCAUUUUUCUUAAUCAGUAAUCUGAUUAAAGUUACUUUCCUUGAUGCCUGUGGGUUACUAUUUUGUUAUUGCCCCAUAAUGUAUGUAGAAUGAAGAAUACUGUAGUCAUGGGAGUGACAUCACAUGUCACAUUUUCUAAUCGGGGAUGGAAAAAAAACUGGUCACGUGUAUUACCAUGAUGCGUGAGCCAUGAGCACUGGGAGUUUGCGGCCAAAACAUAGCCUUGCUACCUCGCCAAGAUGCAAUGAAAUAGGCAGGAGAUAUACUACAAACGGCUGCAUUUGCACACUGGAAACACAGCCAUUACUUCACAUUCUUGUCCAGUAAAGAUGACAAAAAUAUCUCCGUGCGCUGCGGACUUUGCGCUGGCUCAAAAAGACUGUCGAAGCUAAAAGCAUCCAAUUCAAGCACCACUUGGAAUUACAGCACAACAGGUACCAAGACAGCCAGGACUUUUUGAUACUGCUCGUGCUCAAUCCUCGGUUCAAGCUCAGUUGUUGUUGAACGUUUUGAAAGCUUAGGUUUAAAGAAAUUCUAAAUAUCCAUCUUGCCUCUUCAGCUGUAGUUUUGGCUAAACAAAGCAAACGGCUGUCUCUAAGGUGCUAUAGUCACAUGAUCUGUUCGAAAAAUAAUUUGGACCCAUUAUGAAAUACUUUGAACGAUUCUUGUUCAUCUCAUUCAUUUUUGUUGUUUGUUUUAUCGCUCUAAAACUUUUAUAGACAACAUUUUAAUGGCCAUAUUCAAUGGUCGUUAUUUUAAAGGGGAAGUUCAGAAUUCUUUACAUUAGGCUUAAUCGUUGAGUUAGCUGGGGUUUAAUUAGUCGUUGGAGUUGAUUUGAACAAAUUCUGUGCAGUUUGCAUGUUAUUUGUUAGUUUCAGGGCUCCGGAGUGGCUAAACUAGCGCAAGUCAAUGGUGGUUGAAAUCAAGUUCCAUUUGAGGCGUGCUUAUUUGGUUUCACAUGAUGGAAUCAUACGCACAUUGGUGUGACGCUGUUCCUAAGGAUUUGCAAAGUUUAAUGUACAACAAGAAUUAUAUUGAGUGGAAACUGCAUGUAAGCCCAUAAAAAGAGAUCUUAAGUAUUGACUGCAUUUACACUCGUAAAAGGAGCACUUUAUCAAGAAAACGCCAGAUUACCGGAACAUGUGUCAUUCAGUAUUGUGGGUUGGUUGUAUUUUUAAUGUGGCGGCAACACUCAGAAGUUAAGUCAUUGAUGGGAAAACCUUUUUUAACAUAUUUAUUUGUGUAUGAAAAUCUACCACACGGUUUCAUAAACAUACUACCAUGCUGUAUCAUCAAUGUGAGAAAACUCCUUACAACUGCCAGACAGAUUGUUUUACUAAUAACAGUGGUUUAUUAUUAUUUCUUGUACUGUAUGUUAGUAAACUUUGACUUCAAACUAAUCAAGUGUUGUUACUGUAAGAUGACAGCAGCGACGUUGCCUGGCACGGCCAGACUGUUCUCCCUGUAUUUUUCAAACACUGUGAGAUUAGUCUGGGACCCAGCCCAUUAACGGCCUCUCGAGCAAGCACAAAAUCAACCGUCCAAUCAGAUUUGUUAAUUUGCGUGACGUGUCCGUAACGAGCAACGUCACUCUUCCGCGUCAGAAGUCGUCUCCAUAACAACACAGAUGGCGAACAGGAGAGGCGAGAAUAAUUUUCAAUCCAAGGUAAAAUCAGUUUUAAAUUACCAAAAACACAUCGACACAAGUCAUUGACAACAGUCUGUCUCGCGCUAGCCAUGUUGAAUAAACUCCGCUCAACUCGAAUGUUUACAUCCGCGCACAAGUCCCUCGUCGCUUUAAUAACGUCACGUUGCCCGUCGCUGAUUGGUCCACUCCGCUGUCUGUUUGCUGUGGUUUGCUCCGCCCUGAAAAUUUUAUCCGCUGAAUGGCGGCCAGACUCAAUAGCUGGAACAGUGGUGAGUCUGGUGUAACAGGCUAGCAGCGACAUUGAAUUAAAGUGAACAGGAGUUGCAGAAUUGGAGGAAAUUUUGGCUUCAAGAUUGUUAAAAACAUUUUCUGAUUUUACACUACCCAUUAACAUUAGGUAAUAAGCCAUUAAAGGCUUAAUAAAAUAAUCUUAAAGAUCAAUGGUAAAACUUAAGCCACAAUUAUUUUAUUUAUUUAGAAUAUUUGGCAUAUUCACAAUUACAUGGUUGCAGGUAACAGAGCUGCAAAUCUGUACUGUUAGUAUUUCCUCCAGAGUAGAAUCUAGCAAUAAAGCUAGCUAUUACGGCUGACCAAGAGGACAGAAACAGAGCCUCCCUUUAGGAGGUAGCAGCACUUUCUUAAAAAAGAUAUAAUUCGUCAUUUACCGUUAUAAAACUUGAAUUCAAUUAUGGCUUUUGAUUUUGAACUAUAAUUAUAUAUUUAUUGAAUGUAGCUUUAUAACUUGGUUGGGAAGGUUUGUUGCAAUUCGUUUUGUAAACCAAAAUAAUAAUGUUGUACUGUAUGUAAUACUGGUUGAAUUAUUUCCAAUGGUCUAAAAAUAUAUGUAUCGAUCAGAAGUCAAAACUUCUGUAUGGGGACAUCUCUACUUUCUUCUACUGCGAUUAAAAAAUGUUAUAGUAACAGUAAAACAGUAAGCAUGUAUGUUGUGGGACACACAUUCCUUGAAUAAAUAAUUAUAUAUUUAAAAUGGUUAUUAAAACAAAUGUUUCCUCAGUUACAAAAAACAGUGAUGAAACAAAAAAUACCAAAGAAAAAUAAUUUAAAUUUAAAUUUUAACUGAGAUUCAAUUUUAUCAUGGAAGUCCGUCGAAACUAUAUUUCCUCGCUCCUGUUCUUUUUGUAUUAAUCUAGUGAAAGGUUGUAUAUUGAUAGGGGCCUUUGAGGCUGUGUUUCCUGCUUCUUUUGUGUUAAAGGAACAUAUGAAGAGGGCCCCUGGCAGUGUUCGCCUUACGCCCCAAAAUUGCUAAGUCCGCCACUGGAAACCCAUCAAACAUCUCUUGGAGUGGGGCAAACUUUCUUCAGACCGAUGUCAAAGACUGGCUGAAAUAACUUCAGUGAGACACUUUUAGUAGCCAUCUACCAAAGGGGGUAACACUAGCUAUUAGGUGGUAGGGUGUCCUAACUUUUUCCUCAGUUAGAAUAUGCAUUUUUGGAUAUGUGAACAUUUCUUAAUAAAGAAUUGAAUUAGGGGCCUUUGAGGCUGCGUUUCCUCUUUCCUGCUUCUUUUGUGUUAAAGGAACAUAUGAAGAGUUCGCCUUAGGCCCCAAAAUUGCUAAGUCCGCCACUGAUGAGGGGUUUAAGUCAAGGCAGUGUUAAGUUUUAAGUCUGCUUUCGAAUCGAGAUGAUUUUAAAUUGGCAAUUCAGGUCAGGGUUAAAGUGCAUAUGACAUGACAAAAAAAUCUUAAAGAGCAUUAUUAUUGGAAUCAAAAUCAUAUGUCGAGACGAUUCAACUAAUUACAACAAUUUGGCAAAGCACAACUGAUGAGAAAUGAGUCUUAAAAUUUGCUGUUUAGCUUCUUUCAUUAUAGCGCUCUGGCACCUCCAUCUUUGUGAAGACAUCAGUCAAUAAGCGAUUUUAGCAGAUUUAGCACUGAGCCCAAUGGAGAGGAAGCGUUUUUCAGCGAUCUUGGUUCAAGUGUGGAUUUUUCUAACUAUAUUGUCGAUCCAGAGGACCUAUGUGGCAUACAGCCAUAUAUGUUUGAGUCGUAUUUGGAGGAGGAGGAAGAUUCAGAGCGAGAAAAAGGCAAGAGAGACAACAAACACGAGGCUGACGACUAGAGCAGACUGCAUUUGCAACACAAAAUGUCAUCAUUGUUUUUAUCUCUCUACUCCCAAUAUUUUUUCAGGAUAUUCAUGUAUCUAAGUAUUUUUUCCCUGAUUGCCAUAUAAAUGGUAUGGUCAUGACAAAUAAGUCUUGUGCUAAAUGGAAUAGGAAAUAUAAAAAAUGUGUUUAUUCAGUACGACAUGGCUAAAUUACUGCAUAAUCGUCAAUACUGCCGACUUCUUAAACCUCCCGAACGGUAUUUUAUGCCACUGGAGUUAGUCCAGCUCCUGUCAUUUCCCUGCCGGACUCGGAGACAGAGGAAAGAGCGUAAACAAAACAGGAGGCAUGAGAGCUAGUCUACAUGCUAACCUGACCUGAGCAGCUCUUCGAAGUCUCUUUUUCGCCUUUCGAACGCGAAAAAUCACACAAAAUUACCUCGACUCAUUUCACACAUGGCAACGGAAGUAAUUGCCUUCACCGAUCGGCCAGCCUCCUGCGGCAAGCAACUUUCAGCGGACUAUUACAGUUUGUCAUUCCCAUGCUGCGGCCCCGGCCAGCAGUCCCACAGUAGUGCUCGUCGCCGAGAAAUGAACGCCGAAGAUGGCUCCUUCUCGGCGGACAAAUUGGCCGGCUUGUCACACACCAUGGUCGCCGGCUGAUGAAUAUAAGCACGCCCGGCUUCACUGGCCGACGGCAAGCAUUGUCACCCACAAAAUACAAGCCACCUCCUUAUUAAAACGCAUGCCAUGAUCCCAGUAUUUGACGUAAUAUAAAACACGUAGCUUCCUCACUUCCUCGUCUGUCCCUCGAUCGUCUUGUUUUGCCGAUUCUUCUCAGUGAACAGUAUCUUUUGAAAAGCCAAAAAGACUCACACCACUCUCCCUGGUGUAGCAACAAAAGCGUGCAGCACAUUGGGCUGGUUUGACACAAAAAAUAAACAAUGAGCAAAUAAACAAAUUAAUCCUCAAAAUGAGCUGAAUCCUUCUCCUUAGAAUAGUAUGGCUAUAUAGUGAAGAUGACCUCAUUCUCGGAUUUCAAAUCCGCCUUGUUCUUCAACCCUGGACUCUGGCCAGUCAUUUUCAUGGCGUGGGAUUCAAAAAGUUGAAUAAAUAUCUCGAUUCAUCACUAGUCACCCGGUGUCAUCACUAGUCACCCGGUGUCCCCUUUCCCCUCUCCCCUCUGGGGACUCCCCUCUGGGGAGGGGCUAUUUUUCAGCUGCAGCCUCCUGACUGUCCGGACCCCUGGCUGGAUAGACGUCCUCGCUGCUACCCCCGUCUCAUCUGGCUAGAUGGACCUCUUCUUGCUCCUUUACUCCACUGCAUUUUUACAGACUGUAACUUCGCUUGCUAAUUCCCAUUAGCAGUUCUGGGGUUCCUGUCUAUCCGUCCUGGGAGUGGAUCUCUCCUGACUGUGGUACUCCCCGAGGUUUCUCAUUUUUCUCCCAAUUGACUCUGGGGUUUUUGGAGUUUUUCCUUGCCGGCAUGGAGGGUCUUAAGGAUAGGGGAUACCCAGGACUUGAACUGUAUCUAUUCAUCUUUGUUGCUUCAUUUCUAAUUGUGUAUCAUAUUGCCUCUGUAAAGUCCUUUGAGACAUUUGUUGUGAUUGAGGGCUAUACAAAUAAAAUUGAAUUGAAUUGAAUUGAUUGCUUCCACACACAUCCAAGCAGUUCAUUUCAUUCAUGAGCAUAAAAUACCGUGUGUAAUAUGAAAUAAACAUGCUUCUUGUGUAAUAUGCCCGUUAGGGUGGGGGAAAAAAAGUUGAAUUGACCCAUUUCGCGUGAUGUCACAUAACGUCCGGACGGUUGCCAUCGUGGGUGUUUCCUCAAACACACACGAGAAAACACUGGGUUUUCACUGCUAUGCUUUCGCCGAAGCAGGCAAAAUGUAAACCAAUUAGACGUUGUCUUUCGUUGUGUCAGCCAAAAGUUCAAUACGCGAUGUUUCAUUCAUACAUACCAGACAUACAUACAUGCACAUCAUGUGAAAUUAAAGAUGGUUUUGUGGUGUCAUGGAUUUUUUUAUUUGGGAAUGCAUUUUUUACAAUGUGGGACUAUAAUCAUCAUUCUUUUUCAUCCUUACACGAAAAGUAAACAUUUGACAAGCUU